AGAGUUUGAUCCUGGCUCAGGACGAACGCUGGCGGCGUGCCUAAUACAUGCAAGUCGAACGGUCUUUUCUAUGGAAGCUUGCUUCCGCUGAGAAGAUAGUGGCGAACGGGUGAGUAACACGUGGGUAACCUGCCCAUAAGAGGGGGAUAACAUCCGGAAACGGGUGCUAAUACCGCAUAGUUUUCUUGAUCGCAUGAUCGGGAAAGGAAAGACGGCCUUUGUGCUGUCGCUUAUGGAUGGACCCGCGGCGUAUUAGAUAGUUGGUGAGGUAAUGGCUCACCAAGUCAGCGAUCGGUAGCCGGACUGAGAGGUUGACCGGCCACAUUGGGACUGAGACACGGCCCAGACUCCUACGGGAGGCAGCAGUGGGGAAUAUUGCGCAAUGGGGGAAACCCUGACGCAGCAACGCCGCGUGAAGGAAGAAGGUCUUCGGAUUGUAAACUUUUGUCUUAUGGGAAGAAAAAAAUGACGGUACCAUAGGAGGAAGCCACGGCUAACUACGUGCCAGCAGCCGCGGUAAUACGUAGGUGGCAAGCGUUGUCCGGAAUUACUGGGUGUAAAGGGCGUGUAGGCGGGGCCUUAAGUCAGAUGUGAAAUCUCCGGGCUUAACUCGGAAAUUGCAUUUGAAACUAAGGCUCUUGAGUGGUGGAGAGGAAAGCGGAAUUCCUAGUGUAGCGGUGAAAUGCGUAGAUAUUAGGAGGAACACCAGUGGCGAAGGCGGCUUUCUGGACACUAACUGACGCUGA
rnacentral:rRNA from 1 species